GCUGGCGGCGUGCCUAAUACAUGCAAGUCGAGCGAACAGAUAAGGAGCUUGCUCCUUUGACGUUAGCGGCGGACGGGUGAGUAACACGUGGGUAACCUACCUAUAAGACUGGAAUAACUCCGGGAAACCGGGGCUAAUGCCGGAUAACAUUUAGAACCGCAUGGUUCUAAAGUGAAAGAUGGUUUUGCUAUCACUUAUAGAUGGACCCGCGCCGUAUUAGCUAGUUGGUAAGGUANCNGCUUACCAAGGCAACGAUACGUAGCCGACCUGAGAGGGUGAUCGGCCACACUGGAACUGAGACACGGUCCAGACUCCUACGGGAGGCAGCAGUAGGGAAUCUUCCGCAAUGGGCGAAAGCCUGACGGAGCAACGCCGCGUGAGUGAUGAAGGUCUUCGGAUCGUAAAACUCUGUUAUUAGGGAAGAACAAAUGUGUAAGU
rnacentral:rRNA from 2 species